CGGGGUGCAGCAGGCGCGAAAACUUUACAAUGCUGGAAACAGCGAUAAGGGGACCUCGAGUGCCAGGUUACAAAUCUGGCUGUCGUGAUGCCUAAAAAGCAUUGCAUAGCAAGGGCCGGGCAGGACCGGUGCCAGCCGCCGCGGUAACACCGGCGGCUCGAGUGGUAACCGUUAUUAUUGGGUCUAAAGGGUCUGUAGCCGGCCGGAUAAGUCUCUUGGGAAAUCUGGCAGCUUAACUGUCAGGCUUUCAGGAGAUACUGUCUGGCUCGAGGCCGGGAGAGGUGAGAGGUACUUCAGGGGUAGGGGUGAAAUCUUGUAAUCCUUGAAGGACCACCAGUGGCGAAGGCGUCUCACCAGAACGGACCUGACGGCAAGGGACGAAAGCUAGGGGCACGAACCGGAUUAGAUACCCGGGUAGUCCUAGCCGUAAACGAUACUCGCUAGGUGUCGGCCACGGUGCGACCGUUGUCGGUGCCGUAGGGAAGCCGUGAAGCGAGCCACCUGGGAAGUACGGCCGCAAGGCUGAAACUUAAAGGAAUUGGCGGGGGAGCACAAGGGCGAAUCGCG
rnacentral:rRNA from 1 species